rnacentral:lncRNA from 1 species
GACUAGUAGCACUAUCUCCUCUCUUCCAGCUGAUGAAGGAAGUGGAGCAACAGCUCAGGGAUAGUGCCAGAGAUAGAGGCCUUCUCAAGAUCCAGCCUUCGGGUGCAGGCCAGUCAUUCAUGGAUUUCAUGGAUGCCCAGUGGGAGUGUGAGGGAGAGCUGAUUCAAGUGAGCUCUGAAACCCUCAACCCACGACAGCUUCUGCUCUACCAGCAUGGACAGUUUCUCCUCCAGCACCUUCACUUACAUAAAAUGAUACCAGCAGUAACCCUUCAACUGGCUUCUACUCUUCCUUUCAACGACUACCAUAACAAUGCUUUCCGCAACUCUUUCUAUUAUCAGGAGGGACAGAAGACUCUGUUUGUUCGCAGUCAGAGAUUGCAAUCAGUGGGUGGCCUCUCUCUGCUGCUAAUGCACUGUGCUGCACACAUUUCCACCGGCCAGAUGAGGACCGACACCAUUCCUGCCU